AAACAAAAGCAAAGUUUUAUCCUUUUUCUGAUUUAAUGAAAGUUGAAUGCAUUUAUUAAUCCUUUUUAAGUUCGCUAAAGUCAAAUACCAUACCUACUUUAGCAAUAUACGACAUAACCAAAUACACGGGAGUAAUGUUAAACCCUAGAAGGCUGUAAAGACAAUGGAUUUCCCUAGUUCAGAUAUGUCUUCUAUAGACGUGAGCAUGGUAUGCCGCGGCUGCCUCGCCUCUGGGGGUGAGAUGAAGAACAUGAUAGAGUGGGGGCUGGUGGACAACUUUCACAGGCUCACACACAUCCAGGUGGACGUAGCUGAUGGUUUGUCCCAGUUGAUCUGCGGCACCUGUGAGGAUGUACUGCUGCAGCUGACCAGGUUUACCUCACAGUGUAAACAGUCUGAUGAAAUUUUGAAAAGUGCUAAAGAGAAAAAUGUUUUGCACGAUGAAGAUGUUGGUCUAAAAACUUCAAUCACCACAGAUUUGCAGAAUGACAAGCUGGAUAUAAUGGUGGUAGCACCUGAUACCUCCGAAAAAAUUACCCUGCCAUGCCCAUACUGCUCCAAUAGUAACUACAUUAAAAAGUCUGACCUACAGAAGCAUAUCCAAAAGGAACAUAACCUAGAAAACUACACCGUAGACGUUAAAUAUCACUGCCACAAAACUAAUUGUUCAUACAACUUAAACUCGAAACGACACAAGUUUUUUACAAGCAGAAAGAAUCUCAACCAACAUGUAAAUAAAGUCCACAGUACCAAAAACUUCACCUGCAGUAAUUGUCCCCAGAAAUUCGCUACCGAAUCUGACUUGAAGCGGCACACCAAAACAUGUAAUUAUAUUUAUGAAUGCCAUAUCUGUAACAUACAGUACAAGACUAACGAAACGUUGCUAGUGCAUCUACUUCGAAAACAUCCAAAGGAACACAAAGACUAUAAGGAAAAGAAAGCAGAAAAAAGAAAAGUGGUUGAUAAAAAGGAGGAGGAAAAAUUAGAUUACUGCGACAGUCCAAAGCGUUCCUUUGCCACCCAGACUUUGGAGAACAUAAAAAAUGAUGUGACAUUUUGGCAGGAGCCUAAAAGAGAUGAGAUCUCCACCCAAACGGUAUUCGAAGAUCUCCUGUCCCUAAAAUCUCAGAUGAACGACGAUGACUCCCUAUUCUUCUCAGAAACUGUGUCUCUCUCUGAUAUACAAACUCAGACGAUACCUUUCGAAUUUGGGCUGUGCAGGUCUGACAAGGAAACCGUUACUUCGGAGACCCAGUCCCCAGAUUUCAGCAUAAAGGAGACUCAGACUUGCUUCUGUCACUUUGAUUCUCCGAAGCCCAGGUUUGAGAGUGCGAGCCCGUUCUCAUUACUUACAUCGACUGAAACUCAAACCUUGGACAGCAUAGAUCACGAUGUUUUACUCAACUGCGCCGAAACGCAGACUUGUUUUGACAGCGACUUAGAGAAGAAGUUAUGACACUGGUUUUAAACCAAAACGAAGGGCGCGAAAAUUACAAGGACUAACUUUUUAAACUGCUUUAUGAUGGAGAUCAACCCUCAAUGAAAAAAAAACUGGUGCCAUUCUCCUGGAAAAAGUUAAUGACAUCUGAAGAACCAUAGACAAAGAGAUUACGAAAUACAUGUCAUAUCGAUCUGCGGCGGCCGGCGGCGCGCAUGAGCGGAACACUCGACUGCCAGACGUCGCGCGGACCGCUCGCUAGUUUUGAUACUUAGACACAAAAUGUCUCGUCCAUAAUUUUAUUCGUAUCGUGCUAUCGUUCCAUUCUAUCGUGCCACUUUAUAUCGUGCUGCUACAAGACACAAAGACGGCGUUUCACGGGGGUUACACAGAUACA